UAUUAAAAAACCGAGGGGUUGAUUACAAAAGAGUCCUUCAAGUGUUGUUUUGUUACUCGCAGUCGCACCACCACCUCCCUCGCGCGAACGCCGUCUUUCUCCCCGCCGUUUUCUUCACUGGCCGGAACCUCGAUCUCAGAUGACAACUUCGGAGUUGAUUGCUCAAGAUGAAGAGGCUGCUCACGCCAAAAUGCAGAUGCGGACAAUGAAAAAGACUGAGUGGCCAGAUGGUUUAGAUAAAAAGGACGGAGAAAAGAAAAAGAAGAAGAAGAAAAAGAAGCAGAUGGAACAUAAAACCCAAAAGGACAAGCAGAAAGAAGAGAAAGAGUCUGACACAGAACCUUGGGUUAAGAAAGAAGAAAUAGAAUCUGCUACUGAGUGGCCUCAUAAAAAGGACGGAGAAAAUAAGAAGAAGAAGAGAAAGAAGCAGAAGGAACAUAACACUCAAAAGGACGAGCAGAAAGAAGAAAUAGAGUCUGAUGCAGAACCUGGGGUUAGGAAAGAAGAAAUUGAAUCUGAGACGGAAACUUAUGUAAAAAAAGAUGAGGAAAAGCCGAAGAAGAAAAAAGCUAAGUUGUCUGAAGGCAUUGAUGGAAAUAAUCAUAAAAGAGAACCAGACAGUGGUAAGGAGAAGAAGAAAAAGAAGCAAAAAACUGAGGAUUCUACAGAAAGUUCUUCUCCUAUUACCAAGGAGAAGAAGAGGAAGAAAACUGAAAAGGUUCAUGAAGGAGGAGCAGGAUUGAGGGAGAACAAGGAGAUUAGUAGUUCUCCUGAAAAACAAUCGCCUGAGGGAUCAUCCAAGAAAGUAAGAUUUUCCGAAGAUGUGGAGAUCUUUCCACUAGUUGAUGACCGAAGUAGUGGGAAAACUAAGGAAGAUGAUGGUUUAAUUAGAGGCAAGCGGUUUUCCAAAGAAGAAGACGAGAUAGUGAAAAAGGCUGUCUUCGAAUACAUUGAGAAACAUGCUCUUGGUGAUGAAGGUCUCAAAAUGGUUCUUCAUUGCAGGGAGUAUCCAGAGGUCAAAAGUUGUUGGAAGGACAUAGGAAAAGCUAUACCUUAUAGGCCUUAUUUGAGUGUAUAUUAUAGAGCUCACAUCUUGUUUGAAAGGGAUGAAACGCGUAAAUGGACUCCUGAGGAAUAUGAAUUUGUUCGAAAGUUUCAUGACGAACAUGGGUCAGAUUGGAAAGCCUUAGCGGAUGUCCUUGGAAAACACAGGUUUCAUGUGAAAGAUACAUGGAGACGAAUAAAACUCCCCAAUAUGAAGAAAGGGCAAUGGACACAAGACGAGUACCAGAAAUUAUUUGAUUUAGUUAACAAAGACCUGCGACUCAAGGCAUCUGAGGAAAAAAGAUCCAAGCAUGGGAUGCUUCGUGACAAUAUCUGCUGGGGAGCAAUCAGCGACGUGUUGUCCACAAGAUCAACUGCUCUUUGCUGCCAGAAAUGGUAUCGCCAGUUAACAUCGCCAAUGGUUGCUGAGAAUGAAUGGGCAGAUGUAGAUGACUACCGGCUUGUUGAUGCUCUCUCUAGCUUGGAUGCCUGCUCAAUUGAAGAUGUGGAAUGGGACCAACUGCUUGAACACAGAGAUGGUGAUGUAUGUAGAAAGCGUUGGUCUCAAAUGAUCAAACACAUAGGUGAUAAUGGGAACAAGUCAUUUUCUGAACAAGUUGAAAUCCUCUCCAUGCGAUAUAGCAUUGAUGUACUUGAUGCAAGAGAAGCUUAUGACAAUGCGCCCGUAGUUGAUUAGGCAAAACAUAGUUCAAAUCUCAUCAAAUUUCUUUUCAUUCAGGAGGUAUAGCAUCAAGAUGUCUCAUUGCAGUGGUUUUGAGGUCCUGGCAUUUGAAGAAGCUUUGUUCUUGGGCUUGUAAUCAGGUAAUAACUUCAACGUGAUCCCCAUGCCUAUGAGCAGCAGCCCCGUCGCAUGUUGUUCACUUAAUGGCUUCGUGAAUAUCAAGUAAGAUAGCAAUAAUGUCACUGCCUUUCUAGCAGUUGUUAUCUGUGACAGAAUUCAAUUGUUAUGAGUUGUUACAACUAGGAUGAUCACAAUAGUACAAGGUUUAAAUCAUCAUAUAUAUUCUCAUUCUUUAACAUUUA